rnacentral:rRNA from 1 species
AAUCUGGCUCCCUUGGGCGCCCGAGUUGUAAUUUGCAGAGGGUGCUUUGGCGUCGGCAGCGGCCUAAGUUCCUUGGAACUGGGCGUCAUAGAGGGUGAGAACCCCGUACGUGGCCGCCCGCCUUCGCCGUGUAAAGCCCCUUCGACGAGUCGAGUUGUUUGGGAAUGCAGCUCUAAAUGGGAGGUAAAUUCCUUCUAAAGCUAAAUACUGGCCAGAGACCGAUAGCGCACAAGUAGAGUGAUCGAAAGAUGAAAAGCACUUUGGAAAGAGAGUCAAAAAGCACGUGAAAUUGUUGAAAGGGAAGCGCUUGCAGCCAGACUUGCCCGCGGUUGUUCUUCUUCCGCGGGCAGGCCAGCAUCAGUCUGGGCGGUCGGAUAAAGGCUCUGGGAAUGUGGCUCCCCCCGGGGAGUGUUAUAGCCCAGGGCGCCAUGCGGCCAGCCCGGACUGAGGUCCGCGCAUCUGCUAGGAUGCUGGCGUAAUGGCUGUAAGCGGCCCGUCUUGAAACACGGACCAAGGAGUCUAACAUCUAUGCGAGUGUUUGGGUGUCAAGCCCGGGCGCGCAAUGAAAGUGAACGGAGGUGGGAACCCCUCGGGGCGCACCAUCGACCGAUCCUGAUGUCUUCGGAUGGAUUUGAGUAAGAGCAUAGCUGUUGGGACCCGAAAGAUGGUGAACUAUGCCUGAAUAGGGUGAAGCCAGAGGAAACUCUGGUGGAGGCUCGCAGCGGUUCUGACGUGCAAAUCGAUCGUCAAAUUUGGGCAUAGGGGCGAAAGACUAAUCGAA